UGAUUCUUUCAGUCUCUUCUUGAAGUAUCCACUCUUCGAAAACAAUGGGCACUGCAAAUCAAAAAACAUACGAGAACUAGAAUAUUGAAGGCCCUGUUUCCAACCCGAAUGCAGACCGACACUGGCAGACCAGUCUCCUGGCUCCUGCAAAAACAUCCACAGAAAAAACCAGGGCACUAACAUUUGGAGAAGAGAAAGGACUUGAGGCCACUGAACUACAUUUUGGGCUUACAACUUCCAUAGCUAUAGCUCAUGGAAAGAACUCAAAAGACUAGAGUCACUAAAAGGUGAAGCUCAACCCAAGCUUUUGAAUUCAUUUCUCCAUCUUUUCAUGCUCAUAAAUGGUCGAAACCCGGUUCAGGGAUCGAUGCGAGGAGUAGAAGGGGUUCUAGAAACCGAAAAACCAGUGGGAAUUGAAGAGAAUGAAGGAGAAAGCAGAGGUGGUUUCAGAAUACAAGUGCAGUAUUUUUCUAGUGAUUAGUCAAAUGCACACGAGUUGCCUAAAAAUCCACAUUUUAAGGCUUCAAAAACGUUCUCGAGUGUCGAGAAGUUGAAUUCUGAUGCAAAUUUUCUUCGCCUCGGACAGUUGAAAAUGGUGAGCUCUUCAAAUUCUCUUUCAUGUGA